UCCGGUGGCAUCACGGACGGGGCCACACCUGUUCCCAUUCCGAACACAGCCGUUAAGCCCGUUCCGGCCGAUGGUAGUCCUUCGGGGCGAGAGUAGGUGGCCGCCGGAG
rfam:Planctomycetes bacterium SM23_25 WORSMTZ_58560, whole genome shotgun sequence.